rnacentral:rRNA from 1 species
CCUACGGGGUGCAGCAGUGAGGAAUAUUGGUCAAUGGGCGGAAGCCUGAACCAGCCAAGUAGCGUGCAGGAUGACGGCCCUACGGGUUGUAAACUGCUUUUAUACGGGAAUAACGCGCCUUACGUGUAGGGCUUUGCAUGUACCGUAUGAAUAAGGACCGGCUAAUUCCGUGCCAGCAGCCGCGGUAAUACGGAGGAUUCAAGCGUUAUCCGGAUUUAUUGGGUUUAAAGGGUGCGUAGGCGGUCGGAUAAGUUAGAGGUGAAAUCCCGAGGCUCAACUUCGGCGAGCCGUUGAAACUGUCGGACUAGAGACGGCGAGAAGUACGCGGAAUGCGCGGUGUAGCGGUGAAAUGCAUAGAUAUCGCGCAGAACUCCGAUUGCGAAGGCAGCGUACCGGCGCCGGACUGACGCUGAGGCACGAAAGCGUGGGUAUCGAACAGGAUUAGAUACCCCAGUAGUC